rnacentral:rRNA from 1 species
GAUGAACGCUGGCGGCGUGCCUAAUACAUGCAAGUCGAGCGAACAGACGAGGAGCUUGCUCCUCUGACGUUAGCGGCGGACGGGUGAGUAACACGUGGAUAACCUACCUAUAAGACUGGGAUAACUUCGGGAAACCGGAGCUAAUACCGGAUAACAUGUUGAACCGCAUGGUUCAACAGUGAAAGACGGUCUUGCUGUCACUUAUAGAUGGAUCCGCGCCGCAUUAGCUAGUUGGUAAGGUAACGGCUUACCAAGUCAACGAUGCGUAGCCGACCUGAGAGGGUGAUCGGCCACACUGGAACUGAGACACGGUCCAGACUCCUACGGGAGGCAGCAGUAGGGAAUCUUCCGCAAUGGGCGAAAGCCUGACGGAGCAACGCAGCGUGAGUGAAGAAGGUCUUCGGAUCGUAAAACUCUGUUAUUAGGGAAGAACAAAUGUGUAAGUAAAUAUGCACGUCUUGACGGUACCUAAUCAGAAAGCCACGGCUAACUACGUG